CUAAAAAAUAAAGUAACUGUUUUGAGAAGACGUCAUCUUCAGUAUUCAAUUGUCUUUGGGGUGCCAGUACUGGCUCUUUUCAAAUUGCAAACGGGCAUUUCAAAGUGAAGGAUUGAAAGAAAAAGGGAAGAAAGGAGGCAGCAAAGAAAACGGCUCGCAAUUCGAGUAUUUGAGUCACAUAAUUAUCUACCUUAUAUUCUUCACUCGGUACAGUAGUAGUUUUUGUCGCAAAUCCCGUAUAAAAUAUUUAUGUGUCCGAAAUGAAUUAUUUGUCUUUGACGGGUGCCAAGUGAACAUAUCAGCCCAAGGCGAAUUCAUUAAAAGUGGUAGCACUAGGCCAACAACAAUAUUUUGUACAUUAGAAUGUCACGUCAAAGUAGAAGACAAAUAAGUGAUUUAUUUGUCGCGUUGAAGUUAUUUUAAAAUUUAAAUUUUCAAAUUACAAAUAAUUCAAAUUUAUGCUCACAUCCGAAUUAACCACCUUUAAUGCAUUCGCCUUGUAUCAGCACAUAAAGCGGAGAAGUAAAAAAAAAAUGCCGCGCGGAACUGAAUUAUCAGAUGAGGAGUGUGGAUUGAUCAAUAACCAAAGGAAUACGCUUAGAAAUGUUAAAAAAAAUCCAUAUGACUAAUAGGUCCUUCUAUUGCGGCAACG